rnacentral:rRNA from 1 species
CACGUAGGGCGCAAGCGUUGUCCGGAAUUAUUGGGCGUAAAGAGCUCGUAGGCGGUCUGUUGCGUCGGCUGUGAAAACCCGGGGCUCAACUCCGGGCCUGCAGCCGAUACGGGCAGACUAGAGUUCGGCAGGGGAGACUGGAAUUCCUGGUGUAGCGGUGAAAUGCGCAGAUAUCAGGAGGAACACCGGUGGCGAAGGCGGGUCUCUGGGCCGAUACUGACGCUGAGGAGCGAAAGCGUGGGGAGCGAACAGG